rnacentral:rRNA from 1 species
GAGUUUGAUCUUGGCUCAGAUUGAACGCUGGCGGCAUGCCUUACACAUGCAAGUCGAACGGCAGCAUGAUCUAGCUUGCUAGAUUGAUGGCGAGUGGCGAACGGGUGAGUAAUACAUCGGAACGUGCCCUGUAGUGGGGGAUAACUAGUCGAAAAAUUAGCUAAUACCGCAUACGACCUGAGGGUGAAAGUGGGGGACCGCAAGGCCUCAUGCUAUAGGAGCGGCCGAUGUCUGAUUAGCUAGUUGGUGGGGUAAAGGCCCACCAAGGCGACGAUCAGUAGCUGGUCUGAGAGGACGAUCAGCCACACUGGGACUGAGACACGGCCCAGACUCCUACGGGAGGCAGCAGUGGGGAAUUUUGGACAAUGGGCGAAAGCCUGAUCCAGCAAUGCCGCGUGUGUG